rnacentral:Y_RNA from 1 species
GGCUGGUCCAAAGGUAGUGGGUUAUCUCGACUGUUACAGGUAGUUACAGAUUGAUCUCCUUGUUCUCCUAUUUUCCCCUUUCUCACUACUGCACUUGACUGAAAA